AUACGUAGGGGGCGAGCGUUGUCCGGAAUGAUUGGGCGUAAAGGGCGCGUAGGCGGCCCGGUAAGUCUGGAGUGAAAGUCCUGUUUUUAAGAUGGGAAUUGCUUUGGAUACUGUCGGGCUUGAGUGCAGGAGAGGUAAGUGGAAUUCCCAGUGUAGCGGUGAAAUGCGUAAAGAUUGGGAGGAACACCAGUGGCGAAGGCGACUUACUGGACUGUAACUGACGCUGAGGCGCGAAAGUGUGGGGAGCAAACAGGAUUAGAUACCCUGGUAGUCCACACUGUAAACGAUGAAUGCUAGGUGUAGGGGGUAUCGACCCCUUCUGUGCCGCAGUCAACACAAUAAGCAUUCCGCCUGGGGAGUACGGCCGCAAGGUUGAAACUCAAAUGAAUUGACGGGG
rnacentral:rRNA from 1 species